rnacentral:rRNA from 1 species
AUUGAACGCUGGCGGCAGGCCUAACACAUGCAAGUCGAACGAGUGGCGGACGGGUGAGUAAUGUCUGGGAAACUGCCCGAUGGAGGGGGAUAACUACUGGAAACGGUAGCUAAUACCGCAUACCAGAGGAUGUUCCCAGAUGGGAUUGGCUAGUAGGUGGGGUAACGGCUCACCUGGGCGACGAUCCCUAGCUGGUCUGAGAGGAUGAACAGCCACACUGGAACUGAGACACGGGCCAGACUCCUACGGGAGGCAGCAGUGGGGAAUAUUGCACAAUGGGCGCAAGCCUGAUGCAGCCAUGCCGCGUGUAUGAAGAAGGCCUUCGGGUUGUAAAGUACUUUCAGCGAGGAGGCGUUACUCGCAGAAGAAGCACCGGCUAACUCCGUGCCAGCCGCCGCGGUAAUUC